CCUGUAUUUUUGUGUGUGUCUUCUGCUACCUGCUUAAAGAAUGACUUAGGCACACGCUGCCAGUCGAGCGCCAGUCCGAAGCGACGCUCCCUGACGGUAUUGCUACUGUUCUGUGCUCACCAGGUGCCUAGUCGAGACCUGUCACAUCAGCUUCCCCCACUCACCCCCUCCCAGCACUGCAGGUUCACACCAGGUUACUUGCUCUGGGAAGGGCCAGCUGCCAUGUUGUGAGCAGUCCCAAGGAGAGGCCACAUGGUGAGGAGCUCAAGUCUCUGACCUACAGCCAGCAGGGGACUGAGGUCUGUCAACAGUCAUGGGAGUGAGCUCGGAAGCAGCCCCGGCUGAAUCCUGAGAUGACUGCUUCCCCAGCCACAGGGAAGACCCUCAGCCAGGACCACCCAGCUAAGCCAAUCCCAGAUUCCUGACCCAUAGACACUGAGGGAGGACCUGUUGAAGGCUCUAAGUUUGAGAGUGAUUUGUUACACACCAUGGAUGACUAAUAUACCAACGCUCCAACCUUGUGUCCUUAGGUCCCAGUUUGUUCAAACCAUUUACCUUCGAGACACAAUUCCCAGACCGAUUGAUACGGAAGGAAGAUGUUGCCAUAACUUCUACUUAUUACUGAGUCUUACCAUGUAUGUAAUUCUUUUGCCAGGAGAUCCAACACACAGAAGAGUGUCUGGCAAUAGGAAAGGUCCAGUAAAUAUUUUCUGCAUUAAUGAUACAAAGAUUCACAAGAUCAAACCUCCAGUCAAACUCCAAGAAAACCACUCAAUCUGAAAGAAUAUUGACAAGAAUGUGUCAUAAGUUAAAUGAUAAGCAAGCACUAAAUGGUGCCCAGAAAGGCUCACGAAAUUCUACACGGUUUCCCAAUACCAUCUCCAUCCCGGGUCCCACUGUUCCUCUGAGGUAGUCCUUCAUGGAGAGUUUGGUUCCACUCUAGGUGGUGAGGACUCACCUGAUGGCUUUCUACCUGGGCUUCAGUCAUUCCUCCAGCUUGGUCUUCCUUGUUGGCUUCCUUACAUGUCUGGGAGACUCAGUGUUCCACUCAAGUCACCUGAUGUGGCUCUUCCUGGCAGGAGCCACAGCUCCAGCUAUAAUAUACUGGACAUGUAUACCCUUCUUUGGGGUUGAUUUUAGUGAUUCGCUUAUUAAGCACCACCCUCACAGUGUGACACCACCCAUCACCUUUGACAUUCAGCUUCUGACCUGGGCUUCAAGAAAA